UACGAAGGGGGGCGAGCGUUGUUCGGAUUUACUGGGCGUAAAGGGCGCGUAGGCGGCGCCGCAAGUCGAGUGUGAAAGCCCCGGGCUCAACCUGGGAGGUGCGCUCGAGACUGUGGUGCUGGAGUUCGGGAGAGGAGCGUGGAAUUCCCAGUGUAGCGGUGAAAUGCGUAGAUAUCGUAAGGAAGACCAGUGGCGAAGGCGGGUCUCUGGACAGUUCCUGACGCUGAGGCACGAAGGCCAGGGGAGCAAACGGG
rnacentral:rRNA from 1 species